rnacentral:rRNA from 14 species
CCAAGGCGGCUUGAUAUUACUGAAUAACCGAUAGUGAAGAGUACCGUGAGGGAAAGGUGA